CCUCCAAGAUGCAAAUGAUUCUCGUGCCUCAGCCUCCCAAGUAGCUGGAAUUACAGGUGUGCACUACCAUGCCCAGCUGUUUUUUGUAGAGAUGGGGUUUCACCAUGGUCUCUACUAAACUCUGUCUCUACUAAAAAUACAAAAAUUACCCAGGCGUGGUGGCACAUGCCUGUAGUCCCAGCUACUCAAGAAGCUGAGGCAGGAGAAUCACUCGAACCUGGGAGGUGGAGGUUGCAGUGACCCAAAAUCAUGCACUCUAGCCUGGGGUCUCGCUUUUGCCCAGGUUAGAGUGCAGUGGCACAAUCAUAGUGGCUCACUGCAGCCUCAAACUCCUGGGCUGAAGGGAAUCCUCCCACCUCAGCCUCCCAAGUAGCUAGGACUAUAGGCAUGUGCCAUCAUGGCGAGUUAAUUUUUUGUGUGUUUUUAUUUUCUCGAGACAGAGUCUUGCUCUGUUGCUCAGGCUGGACUGCAAUGGCGUGAUCUUGGCUCACCGCAACCUCCACCUCCUGGGUUCAAGCGAUUCUCCUGCCUCAGCCUCCCGAGUUGCUGGGAUUACAGGUGCUGCCAUGGCCACGACUGUUGUUACACUCGAGCUGAGGAGGCCGGCUGCAGCCCCAAGACAGAGCGCUACUCCUGGCAGUGCGUCAAUCAGUGUCCUGUGCGGUUACCAUGCCAGCAAUGGUUCCUUUUGAGUUUCUGACAGAAGAUAGUGGUUUUCAUCCAAAUAAGUCAACUACUCUACCCCAUCCCUAAGCCACUUGUAUGGAAAGAAAAAGAGGAAGAAGCCAGUACUGCGACUGCGUAAGCUUCCCCCAGCAUCACCCGCUAUGAGAUGUGUGGCAGCUGAGACCCGGGAACUGCUCAAGGGCACCAGGCCCCAUCUGUCUGCACUCACUCACCUUCCUCAGGUACUCGCAUGGGCAUGUCACUGACUUUACGUGCUGCUGCAGCUCCUUGGUGAGCUGGCCCUGGUCAUGGGACAGGAACU